GAUGAACGCUGGCGGCGUGCCUAAUACAUGCAAGUCGAGCGAACAGACGAGGAGCUUGCUCCUCUGACGUUAGCGGCGGACGGGUGAGUAACACGUGGAUAACCUACCUAUAAGACUGGGAUAACUUCGGGAAACCGGAGCUAAUACCGGAUAAUAUAUUGAACCGCAUGGUUCAAUAGUGAAAGACGGUUUUGCUGUCUCUUAUAGAUGGAUCCGCGCCGGCUUAGCUAGUUGGUAAGGUAACGGCUUACCAAGGCAACGAUGCGUAGCCGGCCUGAGAGGGUGAUCGGCCACACUGGAACUGAGACACGGUCCAGACUCCUACGGGAGGCAGCAGUGGGGAAUCUUCCGCAAUGGGCGAAAGCCUGACGGAGCAACGCCGCGUGAGUGAUGAAGGUCUUCGGAUCGUAAAACUCUGUUAUUAGGGAAGAACAAAUGUGUAAGUAACUAUGCACGUCUUGACGGUACCUAAUCAGAAAGCCACGGCUAACUACGUG
rnacentral:rRNA from 1 species